GACGAACGCUGGCGGCGUGCCUAAUACAUGCAAGUCGAACGCUGAAGAGAGGAGCUUGCUCUUCUUGGAUGAGUUGCGAACGGGUGAGUAACGCGUAGGUAACCUGCCUUGUAGCGGGGGAUAACUAUUGGAAACGAUAGCUAAUACCGCAUAACAAUGGAUGACCCAUGUCAUUUAUUUGAAAGGGGCAAAUGCUCCACUACAAGAUGGACCUGCGUUGUAUUAGCUAGUAGGUGAGGUAACGGCUCACCUAGGCGACGAUACAUAGCCGACCUGAGAGGGUGAUCGGCCACACUGGGACUGAGACACGGCCCAGACUCCUACGGGAGGCAGCAGUAGGGAAUCUUCGGCAAUGGGGGCAACCCUGACCGAGCAACGCCGCGUGAGUGAAGAAGGUUUUCGGAUCGUAAAGCUCUGUUGUAAGUCAAGAACGAGUGCGAGAGUGGAAAGUUCACACUGUGACGGUAGCUUACCAGAAAGGGACGGCUAACUACGUG
rnacentral:rRNA from 1 species